AACGAACGCUGGCGGCGCGCCUAACACAUGCAAGUCGCGCGAGAAAAGGGGGCAACUCCUGAGUAAAGCGGCGCACGGGUGCGUAACACGUGGGUAAUCUACCUCGAGGUCGGGAAUAACCUUCCGAAAGGAGGGCUAAUGCCCGGUAAGACCACGGGAGCUUCGGCUCUUGUGAGAAAAGCAGGCCUCUGUUUACAAGCUUGCGCCAUGAGAUGAGCCCGCGGCCCAUCAGCUAGUUGGCGGGGUAACGGCCCACCAAGGCAUCGACGGGUGGCGGGUCUGAGAGGACGAUCAGCCACACGGGAACUGAGACACGGUCCAGACUCCUACGGGAGGCAGCAGUGGGGAAUCUUGCACAAUGGGCGAAAGCCUGAUGCAGCGACGCCGCGUGUGUGAUGAAGGUCUUCGGAUCGUAAAGCACUUUCGGCCGGGAAGAACAAGCACAUGGCUAACAUCCCUGUGCCCUGACGGUACCGGCAGAAGAAGCAACGGCUAACUCUGUGCCAGCAGCCGCCGUAAUAC
rnacentral:rRNA from 1 species